CAACGCUUUCUUAAGGCAAGCUUUCUUUCUCUCGACAACGUUGUCGGGGUAGAGAGGUUUUGCCUUAAGAAAGCAUUGGGCUUCUGGCUGUCACUAAUUGCUCAAUCAAGCUUAAAAUAAGGAAAUCUUAAUUUUAUAUAUAUAAGUUCUCCUUUCGGGACAAUUACACAAAAUACUUAAGUCUUAAAUAACAAACAACACCCAAAAUAUGAUAGAAGUACUCUAAAUCCUUGUAUAUCCUUGUGUGGAAAUUCUCCCGAACCUCAACACCUCUUAACUCUUGAU
rnacentral:lncRNA from 1 species